CCCCUCCUGGUUCCCCAUCGUAAUCCCCAGGAUGUGGUCUGAGCUCAGCAGACCGGCCAGCAGUCUCUCCCUCUCGGCGAUGAAGAAAUUGAAAUUCAGAGAGAUUAAGGACCUUGUCUAAAGGCCAUAUGGCUCAAAAGAAGCAAGAAUAAAACCGAGAUCUGUCUCACUUCAUGGCUUUGUAGGUCCUCUGUGACACGAGAAAUUUAAUUUCUAAGCUUCCAAUCCACUAACUGAAAAUACGACUUGGUGAUACCUACAAGAUGACCAAAAAAUUAGAAAAUGCUUCCUUUUGGCAGAAGUCUGCCCUGAACAAAUGAACUUCAACCUCAGCACUCCAGGAUGCUCCACAUCAAAAGCAGGCUUCUGAGCAAAAGCUACUCUGGGACAAUCCAUUAACAAGUCAGAGUACAGUACAAUGUUGAACCAUUUCAUGUAUUUUCCAUCUGAGAAGCCAGGGAAAAGGAACUGUAAGUCUUAGGAGUGGAAAAAAGAAAAAAAAAAAAAAAAGCAAAAUACAAGGAAAGGGAUUUCCCUGGUGGUGCAGUGGAAAAGAAUCCACCUGCCAAUGGAGAGGACAUGGGUUCGAUCUCAGAAGAUCCCACAUACCACAGAGGAACUAAACCUAGCCACAGAGCAACUAAGCCGGUGUACUACAUACAACUACUGAAGACUGCACGCUCUAAAGCCUGUGCUCCACCACAAGAGAAGUCACUGCAAUGAGAAACCUGUGCACCACAACGAAGAACAGCCCUCACUUACAGCAACGAGAAAAAGCCUCUGCAAAGCAAAACAAAGACCCAGCGUAGCCAA